UUGUAGGCAUGUGCCUGAAGAACAGUCAUCUGCAUAAUCGAAACCAGGUUCACAAUCCAGCAGUCGUAAAGGCAAGGGAAAAGUGGUUCAAAGAGGAAGGAGGAUAGCCUCUGGCUUGAAGGAACGAUACUUCAGCAACGGUGUCCAUUGACUUCAUUCUUGACUCCGAGUUUAACACCAGUGGUGACGAUAGGAGAUGCCUCCUUAGAUGGCUUGUGCUUAUUAUGCCUCCUGUAUGCCCUGAAUCGCGACUGGGGAAUUCUUUUCCCGCAUGUCAAGAGUGUCAAUUUGCUGUAUUCGCAAGAAUUUAUCAACAGUAAAAUUGCGGCCAAAGCUAGUAGGGAACUUAAGGAUCUUCUGGAUACAAACCGGAAAUACAAACCAAACCAGAAAUACAAACUAGAGUACGGUACUUUUUAGCUGUAUUGAACAUGCUAUGACAACUACUUGUGAA